UGGGGAAUAUUGCACAAUGGGCGCAAGCCUGAUGCAGCCAUGCCGCGUGUGUGAAGAAGGCCUUCGGGUUGUAAAGCACUUUCAGUCAGGAGGAAAGGUUAGUAGUUAAUACCUGCUAGCUGUGACGUUACUGACAGAAGAAGCACCGGCUAACUCCGUG
rnacentral:rRNA from 1 species